rnacentral:lncRNA from 1 species
GGAGAGCAACUAGAUUAUCCUUUUGUAAGUUUGUAUAUGCUUGGCUAGUUGAGUGAGUUUUUUCUUUAAAAGUGUUCAUGCAAUACUUAUUUUAAGUUUACUUUGCAUUUGGAUCUAACUACUUAUCUUUUUCUAUUGUGACGUCUAUCAAAACUAGAGUUGGAGACUUGGAGUAGGAGUGAUGCUUUUUUGUAAUGGAUUGUUGGAUGGUGUGAACUGUGAAAUGGUAAUGGCAUAUGGAAAUAAAAUUCUGGAACUGGAGUCUACAUGGUGGCUGGACAGGCUGGUGGUUGCAUGCCUGCUGCCUGCAUCUUCAUGGACAACAUGGUUGUCUGGUUUGUAAUUAUUUAUGUUCUAUUUUCGGUGGAC